UCAUUAAUUGGCAUUGCGUUAAUUCUGUGCUAUUUUCGUGUCAGAAGAAAGGUGAAUUUCACUUGAAUUGUACUUUACCCAAGGGUUGUGCUGGUAUUGUACAAACCAAAGAUGGUCCUGUAUGCACUUGCCUGCUUCAGAAUUCUUUGGUGUACAUCCAUCACACUAAUCAGUUCUAUUGCACAACUGGGAUUUUGGAAUUGAAUGCAAACUCACGUAUGCAGCACCUUCGUGGCAAAAUCAUUACUUACAAGGAGUACUAUGAAAAAAAGCAUGAAAUCGAGCUGUGUUUUGAGCACGAAUCAUUGGUUAGUGGGAGACCCAUUUUUAGGGUGAAAAAUUACCUUCAAAGAUGCAGAAAUCAGAAAGAGAAAGAAUCAAGAAUGCUGUCGGUUGAAUUGCCUCCGGAGCUUUGUUCUAUAGUUAUGUCGCCGAUAUCAAUCAAUACAUUAUAUUCUUUCUCAAUUGUUCCUUCAAUCUUGCACCGUGUUGAGUC